rfam:Fomitopsis pinicola FP-58527 SS1 unplaced genomic scaffold FOMPIscaffold_3, whole genome shotgun sequence.
GGUGAGAUGGCCGAGCGGUCUAAGGCGCCAGACUAAGGUUCAUAUAUCAGGAUAUGAUUCCGUAAUCUGGUCCUCACGGGCGUGGGUUCGAAUCCCACUCUCAUCA